rnacentral:rRNA from 1 species
AUUGAACGCUGGCGGCAGGCUUAACACAUGCAAGUCGAACGAGUGGCGGACGGGUGAGUAAUGCCUGGGAAACUGGCUGAUGGAGGGGGAUAACUACUGGAAACGGUAGCUAAUACCGCAUACCAUCGGAUGAGCCCAGAUGGGAUUAGCUAGUUGGUGGGGUAAAGGCUCACCUAGGCGACGAUCCCUAGCUGGUCUGAGAGGAUGACCAGCCACACGGGAACUGAGACACGGUCCAGACUCCUACGGGAGGCAGCAGUGGGGAAUAUUGCGCAAUGGGGGCAAGCCUGAUGCAGCCAUGCCGCGUGUAUGAAGAAGGCCUUCGGGUUGUAAAGUACUUUCAGUGGGGAGGCGUUACCCGCAGAAGAAGCACCGGCUAACUCCGUGCCAGCAGCCGCGGUAAUUC